CGCGCACGCGCUGAAAGCUGCUGCUGCUAACGCCUUAGGUGAAAACCGGGCGCCAGCGAAGGUCGCCGUGGGUCAGGGCAUGUGGGAACGGAGGCCAGGGGAGGCCUCAACGUGGCCAAACCACCUUGAUGAUGCGCUCUGUCCCCCCGGGCGCAUUCCGCGGCCACUGCCGGCACCUAGGGAGAGGGUACCUUCCAGAAACUCCUCAGCUUAGUGCGGGGAUGGCCUUCUUGUGCAUGAGCCCCACUGCCACUCGGGAGCUGUGCGCCCUGGACGCUGCACCUUCCAGUUUGUGGGCCGCGGAGGCGGGGGAUCUUGCCCACCGGGUCUGACAGGGCAGGGACGGAAGUAAAUGGAAGCUGGUAGUAAAUAUGAAUCAUUGUUUCUGUCAACCUGGGAAAUGCCAAGAUGGAACUGCUUCAUUCGUUGGGAAGCGACAGUCCAGUUGCAGGUUUUCUGCAGAAAAAUGAGGCUAGAGGAAUGCAUCACGUCUGCAUUGAGGGGACUGCCGAGUGGCCCAUGCCGAGCAGAAGCUGAUGGAUGACCCUCUGAACAAAACCCGUUACAACAACCUGAUCCGCUUGGCCACCAGCUCCUCACAGCUCAUCUCCAUCGAGACGGAGCUCUCCCUGACCCAGUGCAUCAGUUGGCGGCCGACCAGAUGCCUGCACUCUCCUGGAAUGAGAGACAUUCAGAUGCGGCCCAAAGGACUCCCCAUAAAGGCCUGUCAAAGUGCCAGGUUGAAGGAUGAUGGGGUACCAGAUUCCCACCUUGCAACUGCUGGACAGCACGCUCGCUGUAAUAGAGUGCCGUCUGAAGCUCAGUUUUCUCACAUAUGUGAGAAGAGAGGCCCAAAGAGCUCAAGGAAUUUGCCCUCUAUCAUAUCCCCAGCAGAUGGAGAGGAUUCAAACCCAGAAUUCUUAAGCAGUGCCUGGGAGUUCUUCCACAAUCUUAACAAUUACCCUCCACCACCCCUUGGGCCCUCUGUCCCCAGGAGCCUGGCCAGCCAAGACUCACAUCCUCAGGUGAGUGGCAACCUCCAGAAGUGGUUGUCUCAGAGUUAGCACCAUUAUUUAUGUUCUUCUUUUUGGUGUCGCUUGCUCCUGUACCAACACUAGGGUUGGCCUGGGGAUGGUAGUCUCUCAACUGUGGAAAGGAAGAGCAGUGAUAUUCAUGAGAACUACAAGCUCCUACAGUCACAUCCUGCUUUACAGUUUCUACAAAAUACUCUUAUGCACCAUCUGAUUUAGUGCCACCAACAACUGUAGGAAGUGUUGUCACAGUCAGUGACUGAGAGGGAUUGAUACCAUGGCUGAAUAGAAGGCACUAAUGGAACUGAAACUCAGUCUUCUGACUCUGAGCUCUGGGAUUUUGCCACAAGUCAGCAGCUGCCAGGGACCAAAACCAGAGGCAAAGGCAGAAAAGCAAAUAUCAGGUAGGCAGGAACUGUACACCGUGUGGUUUAGAGUCAUACACCCUCACACGUCUGUUAGUGUGAAGAAGUGCACCAGUACUUCUCAAAAUUUAUAUUACUGUAUCUUCAUGGCAGAAGGCAGCCUUUCUGUGAAAUCUGGGAAUUUAACAGAAAGAGGACAACCCAACCCUCAUUUCAGAGAGAAGUCUUGUAUAUUCUUAUAAAUCUAUGUGACUGUCACCCCUAAGUACAUUAAUGUUUUGU